UUUUUUUUUUUUUUUUGCAUGUUUAUGUCCAGCAUCAUUUUUUCAUAAGACUAUCUUUGGUCAGAUUUUUUUUUUUUUUGCCACUUUGUCAAGGAUCAAUUGACUAUAUUUAUAUGGGUUUAUUUCUGGGGUCUCUAUUCUGUUCCAUUAAUUUGUCUAUUUUUCUGCCACUAUCAUACUGUCUUACUUACUAUAGCAUUAUAGUAAGUCUUGAUAUGAGGUAGUGUCAAUUCUCCAACUUUUAAGUCAAGCUUACUUCUAUUUUGGGUCUUUUGCCUCUCCAUAUAAAUUUUAGAAUUAGCUUGUUAAUAUGCCAAAAAUAACUUGCUGGGAUUUUGGCUGGAAUUGCAUUGAAUCUGUAAGUCAAGUCCAGAACUAAAAUCUUGACAUUGAGUCUUCUUGCUCAUAAACAUGCAUGAAAUAUUUCUUCGUUAUUUAGUCAUUCUUUGAUUUAUUUCAUCAGGGGUUCAUAUUUUCCUCAUACAGCUCUUGUUCAUAUUUUGUUAGAUUUAUCCUUACAUAUUUCAUUUUUAAGGGUGCUAAACUAAGUGGCAUUGUGUUUUUAAUUUCAAAUUCUCCUUGGUCUUUGCUGGAGAAAGCAAUCAACUUUUGUAUGCUAACCUUGUGUCCUUUCACUUUACUAUAAAAAAGACAGUUUUAUAACUGUAUAACUUAGAUUUUUCUUUCUCAAUCUGUAUAACUUAGAUUUUUUUUUCAUGUUUACUGCAUCCACUAGAACUACCAGUACUACCUUGAAUAGCAGUCAUGAAAGGAACAUCCUUACUCUGUUUUGAUUUUAGUGGGAGAGAUUUGAGUUUCUUACCAUUAAGUAUGAUGUUAGCUAUAGAUUUUGUGUAGGUGUUCUUUUUCAAGUAGAGGAAGUUCCUAUUCUACAGGAAUACAGAAAAGAUCUAAAACAGAGAGUUUUUAUCAGGAGUGGGUGUUGUAUUUUGUCAAAUGCUUUCCCUCCACCUAUUCAUAUGAUUAUGUGAUUUUUAGUCUGUUUAUUUGAUAAAGUACAUUAACUCACUUUUGAAUGUUGAAUCAUCCCUGCAUAACUAGCAUAAAUCCCAUCUAGUCAUGGUCUAUAAUCCUUUUUAUAUAUUGUUGGAUUCUAUUUGCUAAUAUUUUGUUGAAAAUUUUUUACAUUUUGUUCAUGAGAGAUAGUAGUCUGUAGUUUGUUGGGGUUUUUUUUUCCUUAUACUGUCUUUGUCUGCUUUUAGGAUUAAAGUAAUGCUGACCGCAUAGAAUGCUAUUAUCUUCUAAAAGAAAUUGUAGAGAAUUGAUAUAAUUUUUCU
rnacentral:lncRNA from 1 species